UUUAUCGGAGAGUUUGAUCCUGGCUCAGGACGAACGCUGGCGGCGUGCCUAAUACAUGCAAGUCGAGCGGACAGAUGGGAGCUUGCUCCCUGAUGUUAGCGGCGGACGGGUGAGUAACACGUGGGUAACCUGCCUGUAAGACUGGGAUAACUCCGGGAAACCGGGGC
rnacentral:rRNA from 1 species